UACGUAGGGCGCAAGCGUUAUCCGGAAUUAUUGGGCGUAAAGAGCUCGUAGGCGGUUUGUCGCGUCUGCCGUGAAAGUCCGGGGCUCAACUCCGGAUCUGCGGUGGGUACGGGCAGACUAGAGUGCAGUAGGGGGAGACUGGAAUUCCUGGUGUAGCGGUGAAAUGCGCAGAUAUCAGGAGGAACACCGAUGGCGAAGGCAGGUCUCUGGGCUGUAACUGACGCUGAGGAGCGAAAGCAUGGGGAGCGAACAGG
rnacentral:rRNA from 1 species